CCAUCCAUGGUAAUGUGUCGCCAUUUUAAACACCACUUUGGAGUUGCUGUUUUUCUCUCUUUAGCCGUAUCUUUCAAGAAAAUAAAAAUUAUUGUUCUACUCGUCUAAUCAAUAUUUAAUUGUGUCUUUUUCAGGUGUAUUCGAUUCCCUUCGUUCAAUGAUUUCGAAAUAGUUAACGGGUAGUGUAAGUGUGGAAGCUAGUGAGAUUUAGUGCCGUAUUAAUUUCGUUUAAAUAUGCUGAUUUGGCCGAUUAUUCUAAGGAGUUAUUAAUUGUUUUACCUACUAAUUUUUGAUAUAAAAUUAUCGUAGGUGCUGAUUGUAACAUCCUAAUUCAACAGUAAGCCAAAACCUAUUCGCACUCUCGCUUGGCAUUAUUUCAGUAUCAACGUGAUUAAUUGUCCUUAGAUGCUUAUUUUUUAAAUUAUCAGAGAUAAUUUGCUCCAUUUUUUUAGAGGAACCAAUUUGCUCUAUAUCAAGAUUGAGAGGCACAUAGAAGUGUUUUUACUAAUAAAAUCAAAACAUGGACAAAAAUCAUAUACCCAUAAAUAAUUUAAAGCAUUCAAGGUUGAUCUUUUAGGAAUUAAGACUAAAUUAACAAUAUAUAUAUUUUAA
rnacentral:lncRNA from 1 species